rnacentral:lncRNA from 1 species
CCAACAAAAGUUCCUUUAAAUUGCCUGAGGUAUGGUUUGAAAAAAAUUAUUACAGUGAUUACCUUAUAAUUACUUUGGGGGCUUGCCGUCAACACCUAAGCCUAUUUAAAGUAAGUGGCUUUCACUACCGUGAGAACAUGCACACCUAGCCUGCUCAGGUUAAUUAAGCGUAAGGACCUGGACAUGCCUGAUUUCGUACAUGGACACAGUAUAGAUCUUUAUGUGGUAUGUGGUAAUUUUUUUGCUAUGUGGUAAUUCUAUUUUUCUUGGAGAAC